rnacentral:lncRNA from 1 species
AGACUACAUAUAGGCUCAAAGAUAGCUCGAUCAACCCAUAUGCACUUAUAGGUAGGUUCUUAACCAAUUAUUUCUCCAAACAACUUCUAGUAUUUAAUUUAGCCUCAGAUUUUAUUUCAGUAGGCGAUGGGCCUCCACUAAAAGUUUCAGUUAGAUCAAACCAUUAACAUGAGCCUACUUAGUGAUUCUACCUAAUGAGUGAUCAGGUUCGAAGAUGUCUCGAUCAACAUAACCAUCAUCAGAUAGUUCAACAGAGUUAUCAUAUGAUGAAUGAUAAUUCCAUCAUUCAGAAAGAACACC